rnacentral:siRNA from 1 species
UUCGAAAUGAACUCUUGUGCGU